rnacentral:misc_RNA from 1 species
GGUGGGGGGGGUAAAUAUUAAUAAGAAACUAAAUGAAAUCUUGAUAAAAUAAAUAGGGAACAAAAUAAAAUAUAAAAUAAUAAGAUAUCAAAAUUAAAUAAUGUAAAAAAAAUAUGAAUGGAAUUUACACAAAGGUAAAAAUAUUGGAGGAACAAACAUUAAUUUUUUAAAAAUUAUAGGGAAAAUUUUAAGGGGGACAAACAGUAAUUUUUUUUAAUAAAAAAAUACAUUAAAAUUAUGUUCAUGUUUUAAAUUUUAAAAUUUUGCCCCAAACAAAAAAACCCAAGUAGUUAACCCUGAACAUGAGGGACUUCCCAUCCCAACUCAAGUGUAACAAAAGAUCAGAUGUCUAUGCAUUGAACUCAAAAUUAACAAUAUCCAAAAUUUGAGGAAUGCAACAGAAACCCAUAAUUUUGGCUGGUUGAAGCAAUUUGACUCAAUUCAAUUACUCAAACGCUGUGCAGUGGGGAUAAAUUCCUGAAUCCUGCAUGCCAAUCUGGAACUUUUAUAAUGUCAUGCCUGACUAGGCCCCAAGAUACUAGCGGAAAUCAAUUGGUAGCAACUCCAACAUUAGCUAUUAAGACAGAACCAUAUAAGUAAACAGCACUAUUGUAUAAUUGAGAAAAACACUAUCAUAAUGUAAGUAUCACAUGGAGAGUCACUGAGUACACAUACCUUUUGGAUCACUCGACAACCAU